UAUGGGUUUGGUCCCAGCCCUUCUAUUGGUUAUCAGCAAAACUACACAUGCAAGUAUCCGCACCCCAGUGAGGAUGCCCCACGAGUCGCCCAUUUCGACAAAAGGAGCAGGUAUCAAGCACACCCACAUGGUAGCUCAUAACACCUUGCUAAACCACACCCCCACGGGUAACAGCAGUGACAAAAAUUAAGCAAUAAACGAAAGUUUGACUAAGUUAUGCUUAUUAGGGUUGGUAAAUUUCGUGCCAGCCACCGCGGCCAUACGAUUAACCCUAAUCAAUAGACCCCCGGCGUAAAACGUGUUUAAGAGUCUUAACUAAUAAAGUCAAACCCUAGCUACGCUGUAAAAAGCCCCAGCUACCGUAAGCCCCACCACGAAAGUGACUUUACAUAAUCUGAAGACACGACAGCUAAGACCCAAACUGGGAUUAGAUACCCCACUAUGCCUAGCCCUAAACCCAGAGGAUCUCUCUAACAAGAUCCUCCGCCAGAGUACUACAAGCCAAAGCUUAAAACUCAAAGGACUUGGCGGUGCUUUAUAUCCCUCUAGAGGAGCCUGUUCUAUAAUCGAUAAACCCCGAUAAACCUCACCAACCCUUGCCAACUCAGCCUAUAUACCGCCAUCCUCAGCAAACCCUAAAAAGGAAUCAUAGUAAGCUCAAUCACAAUACGUAAAAACGUUAGGUCAAGGUGUAGCCUAUGGGUUGGAAAGAAAUGGGCUACAUUUCCUACUAUCCUAGGUCACAACUCACUGAACGAAUGUUCCCAUGAAACCGAGAGCUUAAGGCGGAUUUAGCAGUAAGUUAAGAAUAGAGCGCUUAACUGAAUAAGGCCAUGAAGCACGCACACACCGCCCGUCACCCUCCUCAAGUAUAUAUAUAUAACAACUCCAAUCAUAUUAACCCCUACUAUAACCACUAGAGGAGACAAGUCGUAACAAGGUAAGCGUACUGGAAAGUGUGCUUGGACAACA
rnacentral:ncRNA from 1 species